GAUGAACGCUGGCGGCGUGCCUAAUACAUGCAAGUCGAGCGAACAGAUAAGGAGCUUGCUCCUUUGACGUUAGCGGCGGACGGGUGAGUAACACGUGGGUAACCUACCUAUAAGACUGGGAUAACUUCGGGAAACCGGAGCUAAUACCGGAUAAUAUUUCGAACCGCAUGGUUCGAUAGUGAAAGAUGGCCCUGCUAUCACUUAUAGAUGGACCUGCGCCGUAUUAGCUAGUUGGUAAGGUAACGGCUUACCAAGGCAACGAUACGUAGCCGACCUGAGAGGGUGAUCGGCCACACUGGAACUGAGACACGGUCCAGACUCCUACGGGAGGCAGCAGUAGGGAAUCUUCCGCAAUGGGCGAAAGCCUGACGGAGCAACGCCGCGUGAGUGAUGAAGGUCUUCGGAUCGUAAAACUCUGUUAUUAGGGAAGAACAAACGUGUAAGUAACUGUGCACGUCUUGACGGUACCUAAUCAGAAAGCCACGGCUAAUUACGUGCCAGCAGCCGCGGUAAUACGUAGGUGGCAAGCGUUAUCCGGAAUUAUUGGGCGUAAAGCGCGCGUAGGCGGUUUUUUAAGUCUGAUGUGAAAGCCCACGGCUCAACCGUGGAGGGUCAUUGGAAACUGGAAAACUUGAGUGCAGAAGAGGAAAGUGGAAUUCCAUGUGUAGCGGUGAAAUGCGCAGAGAUAUGGAGGAACACCAGUGGCGAAGGCGACUUUCUGGUCUGUAACUGACGCUGAUGUGCGAAAGCGUGGGGAUCAAACAGGAUUAGAUACCCUGGUAGUCCACGCCGUAAACGAUGAGUGCUAAGUGUUAGGGGGUUUCCGCCCCUUAGUGCUGCAGCUAACGCAUUAAGCACUCCGCCUGGGGAGUACGACCGCAAGGUUGAAACUCAAAGGAAUUGACGGGGACCCACACAAGCGGUGGAGCAUGUGGUUUAAUUCGAAGCAACGCGAAGAACCUUACCAAAUCUUGACAUCCUUUGACCCUUCUAGAGAUAGAAGUUUCCCCUUCGGGGGACAAAGUGACAGGUGGUGCAUGGUUGUCGUCAGCUCGUGUCGUGAGAUGUUGGGUUAAGUCCCGCAACGAGCGCAACCCUUAAGCUUAGUUGCCAUCAUUAAGUUGGGCACUCUAAGUUGACUGCCGGUGACAAACCGGAGGAAGGUGGGGAUGACGUCAAAUCAUCAUGCCCCUUAUGAUUUGGGCUACACACGUGCUACAAUGGACAAUACAAAGGGCAGCGAAACCGCGAGGUCAAGCAAAUCCCAUAAAGUUGUUCUCAGUUCGGAUUGUAGUCUGCAACUCGACUACAUGAAGCUGGAAUCGCUAGUAAUCGUAGAUCAGCAUGCUACGGUGAAUACGUUCCCGGGUCUUGUACACACCGCCCGUCACACCACGGGAGUUUGUAACACCCGAAGCCGGUGGAGUAACCAUUUGGAGCUAGCCGUCGAAGGUGGGACAAAUGAUUGGGGUGAAGUCGUAACAAGGUAGCCGUAUCGGAAGG
rnacentral:rRNA from 1 species